GGCCUGUGCUAUGCUGCUGCGUCCGUCUCUGCUACACUUGUCUCUCUGUCCGUCGGAAUGGCAAUCGGAACGGCAGCAGCGGCGGCGGUGCGGCGCAGCCUCGGCGCCGCAGUCCCGGACCUCGCCGUCGCCCACCUCUGCUGCCCCUCGACCCCCGUCACCUACAACGCAGCCCACCUCCCGCCCACGCCGGCCACCCUCCUCGCCCUCCUCCGCCGCGCGCCCGCGCCCGCGCCGCACCCCACCACCGCCGUGCACGCCUGCCUCCUCAAGACGGCCUACUUCCGCCCGGGGGGCUGCACCGUCCCCAACUCGCUGCUCGCCUCCUACGCAACAUCCGGCGACUCCCUUGCCGCGGCGAAGCUGUUCGACGAAAUGCCUCUUAGGGACGUCGCGUCCUGGACCUCCAUGAUGCGGGCACACCUCGCGGGGGGCUCGGCGUCCCAGGCCCUGUGCAUGUUCAGGGACAUGCUCGCUGGCGGCGACGACGCACCGGAGCCGGACGGGGUCGUCCUCGUCGUCGCGCUCCGCGCCUGCGCCGAGCUCGAGGACCUGGCGCUCGGGGCCUCCCUGCACGCCCUCAUGGAGCGCCGUGGGCUGCAGGGCUGCGAUGUCUUCGUCGCCAACUCGCUCGUCGACAUGUACGCCAGGUGCCUGGACCUGCAGUCCGCCAAGAAGGUGUUCGACAUGACCCCGAGCAGGAACGUGGUGUCCUGGAACACCAUCCUCUCUGGACUCGCGCGCACCGGCCGUGCCACCGACGCGCUAGACCUUCUUGCCUCCUCCUCGUCCUUGCUGAAAGAGGGCAGCGACAUCGGCUUCGAUGAGACGACGUUGGUGGUGCUGCUUCAGCUGUGCAAGAGGCUCGAGGGCGGCCAGGCCAUGUGGUGCCGGUCUGUCCAUGCCGCGGCCGUGAGGAGGGGGCUCCUAUUGUCCUCGACAGGCCUGCCUCUGUUGAACGCCCUGCUGGACGCAUACGCCAAGUGCGGCCUGCUUGAGCACACGGUCAGGCUGUUCCGCGGCAUGCCUGAGAGGAACAUCGUCACGUGGAGCACCGUCAUCGCUGGAUGCGUCCACAACGGCCGGCCUGGCGAGGCGAUCGCGUGCGCCGUCGUGAUGAGGGAGGCCGGGGAGACGCCCAACUCGGUCACCAUACUGAGCGUCCUCGAGGCAUGCACAGACUGUGCGGAGAUGGCAGCGUCGAGAUGCGCCCACGGCAUGGCGCUCAGGAGUGGGCUAGCCUUGGAGCGGGACGUCAGCAACGCUCUGGUGGACAUGUAUGGUAAAUGCGGCAACCUGGCUGCGGCGACGAGGGUGUUCAAUGCGAUGCCGCGAAGGGACGUGCUCACCUGGAACUCCAUGAUUGGCGCUCUGGGGAUGAAUGGCCGCGCACGUGAUGCCCUCGCCCUCCUCGACAGGAUGGAGCAGGAAUGGGACAUCAUGCCGAACGGUGUCACGAUGCUGGCCGUGCUGUCGGCAUGCGCGCACGGAGGUCUGGUAGAGGAGGGCGUGGCCUGCUUCGAGAGGAUGACGGCGACACACUCGGUUGAGCCACAGGUGGAGCACCUAUCGUGCGUCGUCGACAUGCUCGCGCGUGCAGGGGACCUUGAGGGGGCCGCUAGGGUCAUCGAGGAGAGGAUAUCCACCAGCAGCAGUCCAGCAGCCUGGAGUGCGCUGCUAAGCGCCUGCAGAGGCUACAGCAGCGACUCGAGUGUUGGACGUGAUGCUGCCUGCCGCGUCCUGGAGUUGGAGCCGGGCAAUGCGGCGGGGUACCUGAUGUCGAUGGGCGUGCCCGGCGCUGGCGAGACGGCAGCGCGGAUGCGACAGCUGAUGAGGGAGAGGGGAGUAGGGGUGACUGGCGGACACAGCAUAGUGCAGGUGGGGUGCAAUGCUCACAGCUUCAUGUCAUGGGAUGGAUGCCACCCUGACAGAGGGCGGGUUUACUCCAUGCUACAUCUCCUGCAUCAACAGAUGCUGCCGCCUACUCCUCCACAUCCAAACCACCAUCAUCUUACCUUAUUAUCACACAAGUGUCAUGAUUAAGAUGAUUGAUAUGGGUGGGUACGCAUAUGGAAGGAAAUGCAGGAUUGCAUUUCAUUUCUUCUGUGGUAAUACUGGAGACGCCAAAGGUCAAAACAAGAUGACAUUUUUUGAAACCGAUGAUGCUGUGUUUACAUCGUUCGCCAUUGCCAUCCGCAGGUUCGCCACCGGCUCCAUGAGAUACUGCGGAAUGGGUUGGAAGGCGGAGUGAUCUCCGUCUUGCCCUCGAGCAUCUUCAGUUCUUGACCACCACGCUCAUUGACGGCCUCGGCUGCACGCACUAGAACACCACCUUGCACAUCCUCUCCACCAGCCCUCUGCAACGCGAUUCAUGGCGGACUGUUGCCACCAUGAGUUCCAUCAGCUCGCCAGCUUCGUACCUGGUCCAUGCGACCAUGAGGAACCAUUGCUGGCUGCUCUUCGGCAUGGCAUCGACAUCUUGGUUACUACCAUGCUUGACGAUCUUCAGGAGGAGCAUGCCGAAGCUGUAGACAUCACACUUCUCGGUGAUCCAAACCUCCAGUGCGGUGUGCCCAAAAGUGCUGCGUUCGCGGGACAGAGACGUGCGUGUCGCAACGGUUGACGAGGCUUGCGAGGCCAAAGUCGGCCACCUUGGGGCUUGGGCCUGAGGGUGCCGUCGAGGAGGUAUCUUGCUGUUGCUAACUUGAAUGGAUUUGUCAUUUUUGAAUAGCCUAACUUGUUCUUCCAAGGAUGGAUGAGUAAUAGAAAUAUCGCGAGUGUCAUUACUGGUGGCAAUCAGUUGGUCUGCGUUUUUGAGGGGGUGCUGGUGGAUACAAAAAUGCUUCUCCUGGGUCCUGGCAACUACGGUGGCGAUAGCCUGAAUCAAGGGGGUGGAGCACCUGCUAAGUGAUCUCAACCUUGAUGGUGCUUGCAAGGAGGAUGCUCUUUGCAAGGAGGUUUGAUGCGAGCACGAAGAGAAGCGAUGGUCACGAUGGCUUUCUUGGGGACGACUUCCAGGAUGAAGAUGACCAUGUCAGUCCCGUUAGAAGAAGCAGCACCGGCCGAAUAACUCUUAUGGAUUUGUUCUCCAUGACCACAUUGAUUUGCAUCAGCUGCUUGUUAUAUACUACUACUACUUGCUCUGUAAAUAGAUGUACUACGAAUAAGGGGGUUCGAUCGAGGGAGAACACAAUGCCAAAAGGUCAGCAGGGUUUACCCAAA